CCUCGCAUGUUUGCUCACCUGGGUCAGGUCCUCCAGGUCCAGGGCCCAGGAGAGAAGCUGACCGUCCAGGCCCAAACCGAGGGCUGAGGGUGAAGCCCAGCAGGGACCUUCCCUCACCCACAAGGGGCAGCCGUGGAAGGGGCCGGGCACCGGACGCGCAUCUGCCCCAAAGCCCCAGUGGAAGCCGGCUCGGUCAUUCUUCCCAGGAGCAUCCACGCCUGAUUGGACACGUUGGUUAAGUCAGCACGAACUGUGCGCCACUGUGAGCCUCGUCCUGUGGUGGGUUCGGGGACACUGGGGCGGAAACAAUGGCGCUUCUGAAGCGGGAGCAGACUGUAAGCAAAGCGCUCCACAGCGAGGGCGGUGCCUUCCCAAGAAGAGCUGGGGUGCACGCGCUGCCACGCCAGGAGGAACCCUGGGCCCUGGGCUGGGCUCCCGGGAACAGAGCCCAAGGCGAGGCCGUGCUGAAGGCGGUUUUCGGGAGGAGGAAGCAGAAAGGGCAGUGGGGUGGGGAGGGGGCCAGAGAUGCGCUGCUCCACCCGAGGGGGCUCCGGGGGCAGCGGGAUGGACCUGCCCUCCUCACUCCGGGACGAAGGCUGCCCCAGGGCACUAACGGGCUGUGCCCACAGGCCAAAGCAGCCAGGGCCUCCAACACCGGGGAAGUGGGUGAAGUGGGUGCCCGCCAGGUGUGCAGGGUGCCCAGAAGUGGGGGACGUGGCUCAGGUGCCCCAGCUGCCCGCAUUCUUAGGAAAGGGCUGGGGCCUGGGGGAGGGGCUGGCAGGGAGCCCUCCUGCUGCUGCAGCUGGUCCCCAGGCCACAGCUGACACCUGUCUCUUCAUCCGCCCCAGAUUCCUGUCUGCUCCAGCCCCCAGCUGCCACACCCAGGCCAGGUCUGGUUGUGUGGGGUCGCCUGGAUUGCCAAUGACACCCACGUGCCCUCUGAGUGGCAAACGCUCUCCUCGACCCAGCGCCUUGGCCGCCUGGUGCUGAAGCUCGUGGCUGCUACCCCUGAUGACCCCUCGCUUCGCCUGCUGGUCUGUGGGAACUGGGGGCCUUGCACUCGGGGGACCCCGACUGUGCCUGGAAGGAAACCCUCUGGAGCCAGGACCUUGGGCCCGUGGAGCCCACAUGCAGAGUGGGCGCAGACCCCCGGGCAGGGGGCCGCUGCUGCCGCCCGUGUCCAGGAACGGCUUUACCAGGUGUGGUCCUGGGCUGUGACUAAGCGGCAGCUCCAACAUCGCAAGACUGGCAGCUGCUGGUGUGGCCCCGGGAGGACGGCCAUGGGGGUGCCAGCCUCGCAGCCGCAUGGCCUCUUUGUUUCAAAUUAUCCACGUGGGUACUUUUCUCCGAGCCCCAGGAAUGCAUUCUUUUCCAUCCCUGUCCAGAAAGAGGACCACAAGCAGGUCGCACUUUCUUAGGAUGAAGCACAAACAACGCCUGUCUUGCCCCUCCGCCCCCACAUCCACAGACGCCCGCUGUACCCCCGCAUCUUGCUGGUUCUCCACUGAGGACCGUGGUCCUGGGGGCUGGUGGUGCGCUGUUUGCCCUGUAUAGACACCUCCCUGUCCAGAGGGUGGGGAGAGGGGACAAAGUUGCGGGGGAGCAGAGCAGAUGCAGGAACAGCAGGCACAAAACCCGGGGAAUGGAGAGGGUGGUGGGCGGGGCAGAGAGGGAGGCCCAGGGGACCAGGGCACCCUUGCACCGGCCACUCGCUGUCAGAAUUGGGUCCUGAGCCUCUGCUCUCUGAACAUGAGAAGCCUCUUAGGUUUUGUCACUGGUCAUCUAACCGGCAGGACCUGGACCACAGACCUAGGUGUGCAGGAAACGUAUCAGUGCCGGCCGGCAACUACCUCCUCUGGACCCCAGAUGGGCCCAGGUCAGCACCCUGUCCUCUGGGAACCACCCCCCAGCCCAGCCAGGGGGAGCCUGGCUCUUGAACUCGGCCACCGUGAUGGUUCACAGGGCGGGGGGCGGGGGUGCCGGUCCCGGGGGCCGCAACAACCAAGGACACACACUGGCUGUGCAGACGAGCCCAGCGCCUGACUUCAGGUGUGGGCAGGGCCGCCCCCCCGAACUGCGAGCGGGGGCCCUUCCUUGCCGCCUCCAGCCUCUGGAAUUUGCUGCCAGCCCUCAACCUGCCCCGUCAGCCCUGGGCGUUUGCCCUUCACGUGGCCUGUUCUCGUGGCUCUAGGAGGACUCCCGUCUCGCUGGAUCACAGCCCACCUCGUGACCUCAUCUCAGCUUGAUCACAUCACCCAAAACCCGCUUCCAAAUAAGGUCAGGUUCCCAGGUACUGGGGUAGGAUUCCAACACUUCCCUUCUGGGGUCACAGUUCACCCCACAGCACCACGUGACCCAGUGAGCAUCAGUGAGAGCCAGUGUUAUUUUCUAUAAUUUCCGCAAGAGAGAGGGGAGUGGGUUUCUUUUUCUCCUGCCCUGACGACGUUAGCCUCGGCUGCCUCCUGCGCCACAUACGACCUGAGGCUGUGGCCAAACUGCAGACAAGGCCAAGCAGAGUGACUCUGAGCCCCUAGAUGCAGCCCUUCCUCUAGGCCUGCUGCCCUGGCUUCUCACCCGCGUGAGCUGAUAGUCUCGGGCACUCGGCCAGCCCUGUGAAGGCUCGACCACAAGGCCGACAGGCCCUGUCUCCACGGAGAGACGCUACUUGGACCAGGAGUCAGGAGCCGGGCGCCGGGCCCCUCCUCCCACCUCGUGGGAAACCCGGGGCAGAGUGAGGAGGAGGGGCCGAGGCCCAGAGCGCGCCCGUGGAGAUCGGCCGUCCUACCCCGAUUUCCAUUCACGCGGUUCCUGGAAAGAGCACAUGUGUUCGUAUGCGGAGCAACACGCAAGGCAGUUAGUUCUUAAGUAGAAACUGGGCUUCUCUCCCAGUUUAAAGCAACCUGGGGGUCAGCAGCCUCCCUGGUUCUGCCCCCUCCCCUCCUGGCUCCCCCCUCCCCCUGUGAAAGGGGGACGCUUGGUUCGCAAGCAGCAGCUUCGAGGUCUCCUCCUUUGCUGAGGCCCCGGCGCCCUUCUUCGUCUGCUCUACCAGGCUGAGUUCUCAGAUGUGGGACUGUCACGUUUGCACAGGCUGCUGUGACCAAGCACCGCAGGCCAGGCGGCUGAAACAACAGAAAUGUACUGACUCACUCACGGCGCUGGAGGCUAGAAGCCCGGGCCGGUGCUGGGGGACCCGACGGGCCGAGGGGGGGACCAGCAUCACGCACAGGACUAAGACUUCGGGGUGUGACAGGGAUGCGGGGGACUGAGGCAGCGGGGCCUCUCAGAGGCAGGGAGGUUAUGAGGCUCCUCUGGUGACAGGGGUUCCCUGGGAGGCGUGGGGACACUGGACCCUGUUAGCGCCUUUGCCGUGGAGGGAGCCAGCCCUACAAGAAAGGGUCCCCAGUGAAGGUCCCCACCUCUGGGACAAGGACCACCUACAUCCACCUGCAGGUGAGGGGCAGGCAGGCACAGAGAGAGGCCCUGGCCUGGCCAGUCUUGCGCCUCGUUCCCAAAGCAGGGAACCGACCCGUCUCGCGGCCGGGCAGCAGUGCAGCCUGUAAUGGCUCCCAGGGUUCACUCUCGCCACAAGCCACGGUCAGCACAGGCACACGUCCCAGCUGGACGUCAUGGACAGCGUCCCGGUGUCUGGUGAGCAGGGCCAGGGAUGUGGACAAGGACACGGGUGGCUAAAGGUGGGCCCAGGGUCUGGAAAGCCUCCUUGAGCAGGUGUGAGCCAGAGCCUGAGGGGCGGGACCGAGGGCAGAGCCCUGGCAGUUGAGCCCAGCACCCUUCACCCGGAAGCCGGGACCCCCACCCCUGUGCCCGCAGAGGUGUCUCCAGGUGUCCUCACAGUCAUGUCGGAGGUGGCUGGGUGGCCCUGGAUGAGCAUCUGGUCAGGAAGAACCCAGGCACAGGUGCGGACUGGGGGAGGGGAGAGACUAACGCCUCAGAGUGGGACUGGGGACAGGGGACAGACCCUGGACCCUAACCCCGAGGGGCAAGGGGAAGCUGCCCAGCCCCAUCCGUCUGGGACCUCCGGUCAGCAAAGAGGAGGCGCAGCCAGAAGAUCCGUGAGGGGUUUCUGUCCUGGGCUGUGGCCCCCAGCUUGCGGGGCCCCUGACGCCUGCCCGCCUCCACACCUCUAGGAGUCCCCGCUGGGGAAGGCGGGGGGCUGGGCGCUCCUGGGCGACCGGAAGACCUCCUCUGAGCCGGGCGGAGGGGCCGGGCCCAGGGGGCAAGGCCUUGCUCAUCCCUUUUAGGACCGACUGGAUACCUGCUGGGGACAAGACACGUCUCCUCUAGGUCGAGGCGGAGAAGGGACAGCAGUCGCGGAGAGGAGCCUGGGAGGACACCCUGACCCAGGACUAAGCAGCCGCGCAGGAAGCCGGCCCCAGGGCAGGGAGCAGAGCCGAGCGGGGUCCGGGUCAAUAAAGCCUCGUUUUGGAAAGUGAAA